rnacentral:rRNA from 1 species
GAGCAACCUACCGAACUGUGGGGGGAUAGCCGGCCUAACGGCCGAGUAAUACCGCAUACGCUUUCAGUGAGGCAUUUCAUUGAAAGGAAACCUACGGGACAGAUCGAGGGGCUCGCGGCCUAUCAGCUAGUUGGUGAGGUAACGGCUCACCAAGGCAACGACGGGUAGCUGGUCUGAGAGGAUGGCCAGCCACAUUGGGACUGAGAUACGGCCCAG